AAAGCAAACGAAGUAUAGUGGGAUUUUUACUACACUUUGUGUUUUUAGGAGGAAAACCCUCGUGCAGCUCUUACAUUUUAUUGGGAACACUUCAAUAGAUCAGUUAGGAUUGAAGGUGAUGUAGAAAAGUUACCAUUUAGUGAUGCAGAUGAAUACUUUAGUAAACGACCAUACAGAAGCCAGAUUGGAGCUCUUUGUAGUAACCAAAGUAUACCGGUUGAAGGACGCCACAUACUAGAACAAAAA
rnacentral:lncRNA from 1 species